UAAGUCGCGCCACUGUGUGAAGUCACCAGAACUUUCCCAACGGCGGCCGGCUUCGUGAAGCUCCGAUCUCUCUCCAAUGGCGAGCGCGGCAUCGGCUCCUUCGAGAGGCGAAGUGCUUUCCUUGUUCCGCUCUCUCCUCCGAACGGCCGCCAAGUUCACCGACUACAACGUGAGGGAAUACGCCAAGAGGAGAGCGAUCGAUGGAUUCCGGGAGAGCCGGACGCUUUCGGAACCCUCUUCGAUUUCUUCGGCCUUCGCCGACGGGAGGAACCAGCUCGAGGUCGCAAACAGGCAGGCCAUGACGUACUCUCUCUACGCUCCAAAGGUUAAGAACGCGAUGGAGAUCAGGAGCGGAUGAGGUAUCUGAUCGAAAGGUUUUUCCAUCAGAAAGCAUAUUGCUCCUGUUCCGAUUCCUCAUUUUUGUUCAAAAGGAUGCUUCAAACCAGCAUAAAUAAGGGAUGCAGCUGCCUCAACUGAUGAAGCAUAUGUCAUAUAUGCUAGCUAUGUUGCAAGUAUGCUAUUGCUGUUAAACAUUUAUCUUUGACCCAGAGAUAAAGACCUCAACUGAAAGCUGCAACUUUAAGGUGUCGAAAAUAACUAGGAUAUUGUGAUCAUGAAUUUAAACAUUCAGACUUGUAUCAGUUUCUCUUAAUUUACAUGAAACCAAUGAUCAGAGAAUUGAGAGAAGCA